rnacentral:tRNA from 1 species
UGGUGUGUAACUCAAUUGGUAGAGUGGUAAACUUUUAAUUUGACAGGUGUUGGUUCGAUCCCAAUUACGCCAG